UACGUAGGGUGCGAGCGUUAAUCGGAAUUACUGGGCGUAAAGCGUGCGUAGGCGGUUCGUUAUGUCUGCUGUGAAAGCCCCGGGCUUAACCUGGGAAUGGCAGUGGAAACUGGCGGGCUUGAGUGUGGCAGAGGGGGGUGGAAUUCCGCGUGUAGCAGUGAAAUGCGUAGAGAUGCGGAGGAACACCGAUGGCGAAGGCACUCUACUGGGCUAUUACUGACACUCAGAGACGAAAGCUAGGGGAGCAAAUGGG
rnacentral:rRNA from 1 species